AAGGUAACAAGCGACUAAUGGCUCCCAAUAAGCACCCCUUCAAUCUUUCUUUGCAAUGGUUCGCCUCUAUAAAUGAGAAAUUUGAAUUUCCCUUCACGUUUAUCUUCAGAUUCCUCUCUACCAACAUUACAUCCCCCCAAAAACGGCAGAUUGGCACUAGGGAGAAGCAUUUGAAGUGCUGGGGUAGCCAAUUUGUUGUAAAGGCAAGAGAACCACAAGAACUUCCAACAGCUAUCUCCGUAUGAGAUUCUUUGUGUUAAAAAAAGAUGGACGAAACAGAAGGUUUGAGUUGCCUCGGAGUCGAUGAAAUUGGCAAGUGGUGAUUUUGUGAAAGGAAGGGAUAUGCUGAUUUACACCUGAAUAGAGAGCAGAUAUAUUCAAAAAACCAAGCAAAAUAGGAAGAGGAAAAGCAAUGUGCAUAAUACAUCUCCAAACAUAAUUCAUGGUUGUGAAUCCUAGAUGGACAAGUACAAAUUCCAUUUCCGGAUACACCAUCGGAGGGCCACCAAAUUGAGACCCAAACCAUUGGUUAUAUAGUACUUUAGAAUAGAUUAUUAUUUGAUUAAAUCCUUAAAUUUAUAUACUUUCAAAAUUACCUUACUCUUUAUACACAACCUUGUGUUGACAUCAUAAAACAUGAUACCAUAUCUAAUUUCCCAUGACCAAUAGAAUUCAAAUGCAUCACCUAGAUGCCCAAUCCUUCAAAAUGCAGUCCAUUAUCUUGUUCGUCAUUUGGUAGAUUUUCACUUUUAAAAGAAAUUGCCCAAGCACAAGAGAAGAAGGUGCAUGAUGUUGCAUUGAAAUUCCAAAUUCCAUAAGCAAUACAUAAUCGUUAAUGGUUAGCUAAAAAUGUACACUCAUAUUGUACCGCGUCAUUUUUUUUAACAAUCCAACAACAUUCUGAAGCUCGAAAUUAAAAUUGGUACUGUUGCACAUCUAUGACUUCUUGAGACAAUCAAACGAAUAUCUUACAUUGCUCCAUGGCGCUUAUAGUGACAAAGCGCUAGCUAUGAAUAAAUGCCAAACAUCCAAAGCCCUUGAAUAACUAGUUGAAUGACUAAAGUGUAUUAAUUAUGUUGCUUACAAAGUUUGGGUACGAGGUUAAUUUAGAUUCACUUUUGAAAUGUUGGAUAAUAUGUCAUGGUUUUUGAAUAACCGAUUUGUUGCCAAUGAUACGACUGAAUGUUGAUGGUUUCGGUUGUUACAAGCAAUGGGCAACAUCAAAGAAACAAUUGUUCCCUUUUUGCCAUAUCAGCAACAAAAGUGGAAGCAAUGGCCUGUUUGAAGCGCUGCAGUGGGCUAAGAAAAACAUUAGCAUUGAUAACCUUAUCAUUUAUAUUGAUGCAUGAGAGAUGGUUUAUGGGGUGUUUCAAUUCUAGCCCUUGCUGUUCUACAACCUGUGAUUGAAGAUAUUAUACGAGUGUUUAGCAAUUUCAAUUAUGUUUUUAUUAGUUAAGUUCAUCAAGGUAAUGUAAGUAAGAUCAACUCAUAUGCUGGCUAUUGCUGCCUUUAGAAUGAGGCCAACUAUAUAUGUUGUAUUGUACAGUUGUUAUUGACACAUAUGAUGAUCCAUGUUACUAAAAAAAGUCAUUUGUGCGAUGACAAUACAAUAUUCAAUUGCUCCA